CUGACGAGUGGCGGACGGGUGAGUAAUGUCUGGGAAACUGCCUGAUGGAGGGGGAUAACUACUGGAAACGGUAGCUAAUACCGCAUAACGUCGCAAGACCAAAGAGGGGGACCUUCGGGCCUCUUGCCAUCGGAUGUGCCCAGAUGGGAUUAGCUAGUAGGUGGGGUAACGGCUCACCUAGGCGACGAUCCCUAGCUGGUCUGAGAGGAUGACCAGCCACACUGGAACUGAGACACGGUCCAGACUCCUACGGGAGGCAGCAGUGGGGAAUAUUGCACAAUGGGCGCAAGCCUGAUGCAGCCAUGCCGCGUGUAUGAAGAAGGCCUUCGGGUUGUAAAGUACUUUCAGCGGGGAGGAAGGGAGUAAAGUUAAUACCUUUGCUCAUUGACGUUACCCGCAGAAGAAGCACCGGCUAACUCCGUGCCAGCAGCCGCGGUAAUACGGAGGGUGCAAGCGUUAAUCGGAAUUACUGGGCGUAAAGCGCACGCAGGCGGUUUGUUAAGUCAGAUGUGAAAUCCCCGGGCUCAACCUGGGAACUGCAUCUGAUACUGGCAAGCUUGAGUCUCGUAGA
rnacentral:rRNA from 1 species